GCGGCCCUACGGGGCGCAGCAGUAGGGAAUUUUCGUCAAUGGGCGCAAGCCUGAACGAGCAAUGCCGCGUGAACGAGGAAGGUCUUCGGAUCGUAAAGUUCUGUUGAAGGGGAAAAAGAGCGGAGAGAGGAAAUGGUCUCCGACUGAUAUUACCCUUCGAGGAAGCCACGGCUGACUACGUGCCAGCAGCCGCGGUAAUACGUAGGUGGCGAGCGUUAUCCGGAAUGAUUGGGCGUAAAGGGUGCGUAGGCGGCCUGCUAAGUCUGGAGUGAAAGGUACCGGCUCAACCGGUAUAGGCUCUGGAA
rnacentral:rRNA from 1 species